rnacentral:ncRNA from 1 species
CGGCCGGGACGACCCGGCCGCAAGCAUGCACACGCGGGGACGGCCCUG